GGACCUGUGGCGUAAUGGUAACGCGUCUGAUUCCAGUUCAAGUUGGAGCAUCCAGAAGAUUAUCCGUUCGAUUCGGGUCAGGUUCA
rfam:Ophiostoma piceae TAMH 11346 chromosome Tnknown scf04, whole genome shotgun sequence.